UUUUGUUUGUUUUUUGUUUUAUGUUUUUAGCAUUUGAAAAUACUUGUAGCACUGAUAAGAUGCUGUUCAUGGCUAUCUAUAGUCUGCCUGUAAUUACCAUUUCCCUUCUGGCACGUACUGAUGUCAGCAGCUAAAAGUGGCACAGAUGUGGACAGGCUGUAGUAGCACGUACCAAACCGCUGCACUGCAAGGACAAAGCAGCUUCAGCCAGUUCUAACAGCCAGUACUGAGUUUUUACCCCCCUUGCUAAGCUUGGGCUAUAUAAAGACCAGACCAGAAUCAGGUACAUCAGCCGAGUGCAGAUGAGAAGCAGGUUGUCACUCAAAUGCAGACUUCUUUCUCUCAAACUACUGAUAACUUUUACAAUUCUAUCACAAGUUUCAGGAUCGGCAUUUUUCUUAAAGAAAAUUGAAUCAAUUGAUUGUACAAGCAUUUAGCUGAUGUUUUCUCUAUUUUGAAAUAGAUCUUGACUGGUAUAUUUAUUUUAAAGGUAGAAGCAGAGAACAGAGAUAAGAUCCCAAACUGAUGCUUUUUCUAAGAGAUGAGGUAGGGAUAAUUCAUGGUUAUGACUAUUUGGAGUUAAUGCAAAAAUGUUUGGAGUUGAUUCAAAAAGAGAAGAAAGCAAAGGAGGGAAGCCAAGCCCAAGAAAUGACUGAUUCUCUAACUAUGUGCAAAAAAGGAAAACUUUCACAUGGAGAAAAUCUGUGCCAUGAGCUGUAGAGUUCAGCUAAGGCUAGGAUGAGGCCCAAUUUUACAUCGUCCUACUAUAAAACAGAAAACGUGGAGGUGGAUAAGAGUCUGCUCUCCAAAUGCAAAAGGGGAAAAAAAAAAAAAAAAAAUUAGACAGAACUCCCCAGUUUGAUGUUUGUUUGUUUGUUUGUUUUAAGGAAAGAAAGAACAACUAACUCACUGUGCUUUUGUUUCAAAAUCAAUCCUGACAGUACAGUUCUCAAAAGACAGCCCAUGAAGCUGAUGAAUAAAUUAUUCUCUAACAUCUACAGACUGAAAAUCGAAGGAUGAUGCUGUUCUUCUAAGUGAAAGAGGCUUCCUUGUGACUCUUCAAGAUCCAACACUGCUGAUGAUCCUUGGGAGUGUCAUUUUGAUUCCAUGGAAUAAUUUAGCUGUUCUUUUUGUUCUUCCUCAAAAAAAUUACACAACUGUAUAUGAAAAAAAUGACAAUUUUUUGGUUCAGAAAACACUUUCAUUUGUUAUAUCUUUUUUUAUUUCUAAAACAUAACCCACUCUAUUAACAAAAUAAAAGUGAAGUCUGAAGGAGCAAGAAUUGUAUACUACAAGAUGAAUGAUAUUUCAAAGAGAGUUAUCUAGUAUAAGCAAUGUUUUUUGGCGAUUUCUUAUUUUUGAAUUUUAACUUUGUCAUUAUAAUUUACAGUAAUGAUGUACAUUAGGACUAUUUAUGUCUGCAUUCGGUUCCAAAAACAUAGUUAGGAGAAAACGCAUAUGGUUUGCCUGCCUGUUCGUGUGUUUAUCUAGCACAGAUAAUACCAGAAAUACUUCAAAUAAAUGAGCUUUGCAGUAAAUUCA